GGCAGUGUAGCACAGUGGGUAAGGAACUGGGCUUGUAACCGAAAGGUCGCAGGUUCGAUUCCAUUCCCAGGUA
rnacentral:tRNA from 1 species